rnacentral:rRNA from 1 species
UACGUAGGGUGCAAGCGUUGUCCGGAAUUAUUGGGCGUAAAGAGCUCGUAGGCGGCUUGUCGCGUCGGCUGUGAAAACCUGGGGCUCAACCCCGGGCCUGCAGCCGAUACGGGCAAGCUAGAAUCGGUAGGGGAGACUGGAAUUCCUGGUGUAGCGGUGAAAUGCGCAGAUAUCAGGAAGAACACCUAUGGCGAAGGCAGCUCUCUGGGACGGUACUGACGCUGAGACGCGAAAGCGUGGGAGCGAACAGG